CAAGGAUGUUUCCAGAAAGACAAACAAAGAUACAGAGAUUUGGGAGAAUUAUCUGGGCAACUCAUGGAAAAACAACAAGGAACAAUGACCUUGAGGAAAAGAAAGGGCACAGUGCUAAUCCCAGAGCAAAGAAAUGUCACCUGUAAAGAAAUUUGGACAGACGCACACUGAGGAAGACCAUGUGAGGACGCAGGAGAAGACAGGCAUCUGCCAGCCAAGAGAGAGGGCUCAGCAAAAACCAGCCCUGCCAGCACCUUGGGCUUGGACUCCUAGACUCCAGA